AAUCGCGCAUCAGCCACGGCGCGGUGAAUACGUUCCCGGGCCUUGUACACACCGCCCGUCAAGCCAUGGAAGCCGGGAGUGCCUGAAGUGCGUGACCGCAAGGAGCGUCCUAAGGCAAUACCGGUGACUGGGGCUAAGUCGUAACAAGGUACC
rnacentral:rRNA from 1 species